CCUACGGGAGGCAGCAGUGGGGAAUAUUGCACAAUGGGGGAAACCCUGAUGCAGCGACGCCGCGUGAGUGAAGAAGUAUUUCGGUAUGUAAAGCUCUAUCAGCAGGAACGAGACAAGACGGUACCUGACUAAGAAGCCCCGGCUAACUACGUGCCAGCAGCCGCGGUAAUACGUAGGGGGCAAGCGUUAUCCGGAAUCACUGGGGGGAAAGGGAGCGUAGACGGCUGUGCAAGCCUGAAGUGAAAGGCGGGGGCCCAACCCCUGGACUGCUUUGGGAACUGUACGGCUGGAGUGCAGGAGAGGUAAGUGGAAUUCCUAGUGGAGCGGUGAAAUGCGUAGAUAUUAGGAGGAACACCAGUGGCGAAGGCGGCUUACUGGACUGUAACUGACGUUGAGGCUCGAAAGCGUGGGGAGCAAACAGGAUUAGAUACCCGAGUAGUC
rnacentral:rRNA from 1 species